UGGUUUUAGCAGAACACUUACAACAGCAUAAGAUGGCAUAAGUGCUUACCUGGUAAUGGAGUGAGAAGUGGCAGAUAACGGUUUUCUCUGCCUAAUAUUUGGACAAACUUGAUUGAUACUUUCAUGUGAGAACUUGUGCCUAAGUAGGAGUAAUUAGGAUGGGUCGCAAGGAUGCUGCUGUUUCAUAUGACAAUGGAAAGAAGCACUUCAGCAAUGUUAAAUACCAGCGCAUACAGCGGACUGAUGAUGGCUUCGUAGAUAUUCAGUUUCAGAAAACUCUCUCAAGGGUUCCCAAAAAGGCCAUUGCACUUGCAACUUGCCUGUUCAUCGGUGGAUCUGCGCUGAUUGUCUUGGCAUCAUUCAUUUUUGCUGGAUUUUUUGACCCAAAAUAUGAUGACAGCAGCUGGCCAGUUCUUGUUCUGGGAGCCCUUAUGUUCAUCCCUGGUGCUUAUCAUGUACGCAUUGCAUACUAUGCAUAUAAGAAGUAUCCAGGCUAUACAUUUGAUGACAUCCCAGAUUUUGAUUAGGUCCACUGUUGUUGUUAGCACUGGACCAAAAAUAUUGCGUUCCUUGUCAUGACACUGGAAUCGCAUGGUCAUUCAGUAUGCUAUGUCUCAGUGGCAAGAUGCAGGUUUCGGGACCUUGCAGACAUUAUGUACAGUUCUUAAAGUUGUUGAAUCAUGAAAUGAGGAUAUGUGUGAUAAGGAAGAAGGUGACCUAUCAUGGCUUCUGGCACAGGAAAUGUUGGUGAAUAUAACCUUAUUGUAAACACAGUAAACAUUGCUGUACUAUACUGUUCAUAAAAUUUUCACAAACAAGCAGUGCAGCACAGGACUAAGCAAGCUUGCUUUCCCUUACUUUCUUUAGCACAGCUGAUCAUCAUUUUGGUGUUAUGUCAUUUGAUGCAGACUGUAUUAGUCAUCAGAGGGUCAAGAGCUUGUCUGGCUUUUUAACCUUUAGUCUUUUGCACCUGUAGGAAAAUUUUGUAUAGUUUCUGUGAAAAUAAACAGCUUUUUCAGCUUU